CUGACACCCAAUGGGUUAAUCAUAGUUUACCUCCGGCGCAUUCUUAAACCCCUACCUAAGCUGCAUAGCUAGGGUUUCCACGCAUGGCGACCACGACGCCGCCUACGGCGAUCCUAGGCACCCUCGUCGACUUCACAUCGCGGGAGAACUGGGACAAGUUCUUCGCGCUCCGCGGCACGGGGGACAGUUUCGAGUGGUAUGCGGAGUGGCCUAACCUCCGGGCCCCGCUCCUCGACCUCCUCGGGGACCGCGGCGCCGCAGCGGGGGCGGCCCAGGAGAUCCUGGUGCCAGCGUGCGGGAGUUCGGUGCUGUCGGAGAAGCUCUACGACGCGGGGUUCUGCCGCGUCACCAAUGUUGAUUUCUCCCGCGUCGUCGUCGCCGACAUGCUCCGCCGUCACGCACGCGCGAGGCCAGAGAUGCGCUGGCGUGUCAUGGACAUGACCGACAUGCAGUUUGCAGAUGGGUCAUUUGAUGUCAUUCUUGAUAAAGGAGGACUGGAUGCUCUUAUGGAGCCGGAGGCUGGGACAAAACUGGGGAUAAAAUAUCUGAAUGAGGUCAAGAGAGUUAUGAAAUCAGGAGGGAAGUUUGUGUGCCUUACCCUUGCAGAAUCCCAUGUUUUAGCGCUUCUUUUGUCUGAGUUCAGAUUUGGAUGGGAUAUGAGUAUUCAAGCUAUAGCUAGUGAAUCCUCUGAAAAAUCUGCGUUCCAAACAUUCAUGGUGGUCAUGGUAAAAGGGAAGAUGGGUGUAGCUCAAACAAUAAAAUCAUCAUUGGAUCAAUCUGCUGAAUACUGUAACAUGAGACAGGCAAAUGCUGUGAUUCGUGCUCUUGGGAACGAGAACAUCAUCCGGGAGUCAUACUCGUCUAGUGUUGAUGUACUGCUCUCAUUGCGAGAUCUUCAGCUAGGAGCUAUAGGAGAUCUGAAAGUGAUUGUCCCAGGACGAAGGAGGCAAUUCAUUCUUGGUGAACAGGAAACUUCGCUAUAUUGCUACAAGGCUAUUUUAUUGGAUGCCAAGAAGCAAACAGAAACCUUUGUAUAUCACUGUGGAGUUUUUAUUGUCCCUAAGGCUCGAGCUCUGGAAUGGCUAUUUUGUUCCUCAGAAGGACAGUGGCAUGUUGUUGAAAGUGCAAGGGCUGCCCGUCUAAUUAUGGUUUUCUUGGAUAGCAGACAUGCAAAUAUCGACAUGGAUAUUAUUAAGAAGGAUUUAUCUCCCCUUGUUAAGGAUUUAGAACCUGGAAAUCCUGAAGAGGAGGCUCCUAUACCGUUCAUGAUGGCAGGUGAUGGUGUUAAACAAAGACAUACUCUGCAAGAGGUAACUUCAGAAAUAACUGGUCCAAUGGUUGUGGAAGAUGUUGUCUAUGAAAAUGCUGAUGGAGAUCAAGGUUCCAUGUCUGAGAAAAUGUUCCGUCGUCUUAUUUUUGGAAGAAGUUCUGGUUUAGUGCAAUCUGAAGCGUUGUUAAUCAGAGAUCCUCCCAGUGAUGAGGUAGACAAAAAGAACAAAAGUGCAGCUGCAACAUCUAAAAAAAGAAGGAACCAUAAAAGGGGAUCCAAGAACAGUCUGAGAAUUGACCAUAAAUUUCUUGGUAGCUCAUAUCACAGCAGUAUCAUAUCUGGGCUUUCUUUAGUUGCAUCUUCUCUGAGUGCUGCUGCUUCAUCUGGAGAAAAAGUCAGCAUCACCGUUGUAGGCCUUGGUGCUGGUUGUUUCCCAAUGUUUCUCCGUGGAUGUCUGCCUUUCGUAGAUAUUGAGGUCGUUGAGUUGGACCCCUUGGUGGCUGAGCUAGCAAAGAAAUAUUUUGGCUUUUCAAUGGAUGAGCAAUUGAAGGCCAAACAUCGCAUUUCCGUAUAUGCUGAUGAUGUUGUGUUGUUCCUCCGGCCCCUUAGAUCAGACCUCUUUGGUCUCACAUGUCUCCUUGAUAUCUUCGGGCAAUCUACUGGUCUCAGGACAAACAUCGCUAAGAGUUGAGUCACUCCGAUUCAGUGUGGGGAGGAAGAAUUGGCUACUAUCCUGGAGCUCCUGCCUAGUGAAUUAAAGGAAUUCGCGUGCAAUUAUUUGGGGCUGCCCCUGACAAUCAGAAAACCAUCAAAAGCCGAGUUGCAGCCCCUCAUUGACAAGGUAUCAAACAAGUUACCAGGUUGGAAAGCCUCUCUCAUGAGUCGAGCAGGCCGGCUUGUGAUGGUCAAGGUGGUCUUAUCAUCAAUCCCCAUCUACUCCAUGCUCGCUUUGGACCUCCCUAAAUUGGUGUUCAAAGCUAUUGAUAAACGACGAAGGGAUUUCUUAUGGAAAGGACAAGAGAAAGCCAACGGAGGUAACUGUGUUCUCAUGGGAAUGCACCCAGCGACCCCUGCAGUUUGGUGGCCUAGGAAUUCUUAAUCUGGAACGGUUUGGGUGGGCCCUGCGUAGUCGCUGGUUGUGGCUGUAAAAUACUGAUGCUUCCCGUCCUUGGGCUGGUCUCCCCAUCCGCGUUCCCCCUAACGCGCUAGCGCUGUGCAAGGUUGCUGUUGUUACUACAGUUGGGAACGGGGAAUCAACCAAAUUCUGGACAGACCGUUGGCUACAAGGUAAAACGGUUGCUGAAUGCACUCCUAACUUAUUCCUUUUGAUCCCCAAAAGGGUUAGAAGACAAAGGACAGUGGCCCAAGGUUUGCAAAAUCCUAGAUGGGUCUCCGACAUCAGGGGAGCAUUGACUGUUCAAGUAAUUGUAGAAUACCUGCAGCUCUGGAACCUUGUUGACAACUUAGUGCUCCACCAAGACACCCCAGAUCAGCAUACCUGGCGCCUCUCCAAGCACGGGGUUUACUCUAGUAAAUCAGCAUAUGAUGCCUUCUUCAUUGGGACAGUUAAAUUUGCCCCCUGGAAACACAUCUGGAAGACCUGGGCGCCAUUAAAAUGCAAAUUCUUCAUUUGGUUGGCUGUCAAGAAUCGAUGUUGGACAGCGGACAAGCUCGCUAAACGUGGGCUGGCUCACCCUGCUGCUUGUCCUUUGUGUGAUCAGCUGAGGAGACUAUCCAACACUGUUUAGUCUCCUGUGUCUUUUCUAGAGAAGUGUGGUUUCUGUUAUUUGCCAAAUUGAGGUUGUCUACUCUGUCGCCUCAGGCCAUGUUUGGUUUCUUUAGUCCAGGGACUAAAGUUUAGUUAGGGGACUAAAGUUUAGUCCCUAACAUGUUUGGUUUUAGGGGCUAAAAAUAGUAAGAAUAUACUAAAUGACUCAUAAGAAGACUAAAAUGGCAUUCUGCUAUUAGUACAAUGAACUAAAUGAGGGGUAAAUGUGAAAUUAAUAUGGUUUAGUCCAUUUUAGCACAUAUGUGAAGGACUAAAGACUAAAUUAUUUUAGUCCAUAUUUUAGUCCUAGUGUUUGGCAAAAAAAGGACUAAAUGGGACUAAAAACUAGAGACUAAUCUUUAGUCCCUCUAACCAAACACUCCCUCAGUCUAGUGACAAGUUCCUAAACUGGUGGAGUAGAGCUGUUAAAACAGUUCCAAAGAAGUUGAGAAAAGGCCUUAACACACUCAUCAUGUUGGCUGCCUUGGAAAUCUGGAAGCAUCGGAAUGAUUGUGUAUUCGAAGGGCAAUGGCCUUGUGUUCAUACUGUUUUGCAGGUUGUGGCCAAUGAAUGUACCCUUUGGUGUGCUGCGGGUGCCUCUGCUCUUCAGGAGCUCCUCACUCGCCAACCCACUCUUAGGGUUUAAUUUGAGUCGCUCGUAGCUGUGUGGCCUGUGUAGGUGUGUGUUUCUGUAAAGUGGCUGUUUGGGUGGCUGAUGAUGGGCCUGCGCAUUUCUUGCCUUCUUUGUACCUGGUGCUGACUCUUCGGUCGCUCCGUUUCUGUUUUGUCUCAUUUCUUAAUGAAUUGACUCACAGAUCUUCUGCGAUGUUCUAAAAAAAGUUUCAUUGCAUCUUACCAUUUCUCCCAUGUUAGGUCCAUUUGGGAGAUGGCAUCAAGUUCAUUGAAGACAGUGUUGCUGCAAAUCAGUCAGUAAAUGGCAGUACCAGAAAUGCAUUCAAAAUACUUAUCCUCGAUGUUGAUUCAUCUGAUCUAAGCUCUGGGCUGUCUUGCCCACCAGAAAACUUUGUCGAAGAUCCUUUCCUUCUAAUAGCAAAGGAGUUCCUUUUGGAGGGCGGCCUUUUUGUCAUCAAUUUAGUCUCGCGGUCAACCUCAGUGAGGGAAACGGUUGUUUCAAGACUGAAAGCGGUCUUCGAACACCUGUACUCACUGCAACUUGAAGAAGACAUAAAUGAGGUUCUGUUUGCAUCACCGAGCGGAAGAUACCUAGAAAUCAAUGACAUUAGUGCAGGAGCCUCCAAACUGCAGGACUUGCUCAAAAUUCCGGUGGAUGUAGAAUCAGAUAUACAGAAGUUGCAGAAACUCCAGUAACAAUCUCACCUGACGCGGAGCACCAUCCAUUUGCAUCCACUUGAUUUAGGUGCUGUUCAGUUCUCACCCCAGCAGGGCACACCAAAAUGUCCUUUGUUUUGCUCGUGGAAGCCAAAUUAGGACCAGCUGUUUUGUACACCAGAAUUUUGUCUAACUGCGCUAUAGAAAAAUUUUGGCCUGCCAGAAUGUCUUUUACAACCAAAGAGGUGAAAAAUCUGGCUUGACCUGAUUGGGCCUAGAACAGGCUAGAGCGCAUUUCAAACUUUUAAACGUCCACAAAUUGGCCGUGUUUUCCCAUAUGUUUGCCUCGCCAACUCUGCAUGGGUAAAACAGUGCAGCUGUACAGAUUUAGAGGAUGUGUGGAGGAAACAGAAUGUGCAUCAUGCUUGGUCUCUGAUGGUUUACAAAUUUCAGCGAAUAUAUUGAUCAGAAUUCAGGCUGUGUUA